GUGGUAGGCUUUGCUUGGGGAUAUUACAUACAACAGUUCGGCGCAACUAUAAUCAUUCUAGCAGCUGGAUUUAUAGUCAGCUGUUUGCUGGUGUUGCCUCCAUGGCCUAUGUACAGAAGAAAUCCACUGGACUGGCAGAAGCCACGCCCAGAGAAAGCAGACACGAAAAAAGAAGGAGGAAAAAAGAAGCAAAAGUGAAUCCUAGAUUACAUUCUGGUAGAGCUAGCUUUGUAAUAAAUUAUUAAAAUGUACUACCAAGUGAUAAA